rnacentral:lncRNA from 1 species
GAUGGUAUUGUGGAAGCUCGAACGGCCGGGGGAGUUCAGAAAGACGCCGCACAGGAUCAGAAGCCGGAAGAGUCCUGGGAGGGUUGGCCUCUUACGAACUUCGGCUGGGGUUAUUUUAUACCCAACAAUAGCAAAUCUAUAUCUGGGUAUGUGUUCACUUUGUAUGGUGGUACAGUAAAUUAAAAAAGUUUCAAAUAGCAAACUACUGCUGACUUGGUCACUGAGAC